rnacentral:rRNA from 1 species
UACGUAGGGGGCUAGCGGUAUCCGGAAUUACUGGGCGUAAAGGGAGCGUAGGUGGUUUCUUAAGUCAGAGGUGAAAGGCUACGGCUCAACCGUAGUAAGCCUUUGAAACUGGGAAACUUGAGUGCAGGAGAGGAGAGUGGAAUUCCUAGUGUAGCGGUGAAAUGCGUAGAUAUUAGGAGGAACACCAGUUGCGAAGGCGGCUCUCUGGACUGUAACUGACACUGAGGCACGAAAGCGUGGGGAGCAAUCAGG